rnacentral:lncRNA from 1 species
CUUUACUGAACAUGUACGUGCCUAGGAAGUCUCAGGAAUGGAUAGAAGAUAAAGUACAUAAUAGUUUCCUGAAGCAGCAGAAUGAAAGAACUCUCUGUGGCAUGAAAAUUUACUGGAGGCAGCAGCUGAGGCUGUGGUGGGAGAAGAAUGACAAGAACUGAGCGUGGGCCACGGGCUCUUACCUUCAGCAACUUCAUCAGCUCUUCCAGCUGGACCAUCAGCUCCCGCCUGCUCUCCUGCAGGGCCGACAUCCUCUGCUCCAGUUCAUCCUUCCUUUGCCUAUCCAAGACGAGAAGCCUAUCAGAUAAAGAGACCCUCAAAGAUGGAUCUAAGGCCAGGUGAAAUGGAUUUCAGACCUGAUCCUGCUACUUACCAGUUAUGAGACGCUGAGCAAGUCAUUUAGCAUCCAAUACCUCAUAAAAUGGUGAUAAUGUCUGUUUUGCCUACUUCCUGGACUGUUCUGAGAAUAAUAGGUAAAAGUGCUUUGGAAAGUUUAGAUGACUAUAUAAAGGUAUUACUUAUAUUACCAGAGUGAAUUAAUGAUUAAAAAACUCUUUAGAAAAUCAAUGCCUUUUGAAAAAUAUAUAAAAUUAGCCCAAAUUUAGAUUAAUAGUAAAGAAACCAUAUUAAACUGCUCAGAGAAAACAGGGUCCAGUAGUAAGUACUUUCAGCACUAGACAGAUUCAAGAAGGAUGACAGAUCAGGACGGCUCCCUGUGUUCAAGAACAGUCACUUUUCCUUGAGGAUAGAUUUUAUGCCAUCUACUCCAGCUCAAUAUGUCCAAAACCAGACUUAAGACUUUAUUCCCUAAAUGGUUUUCUUGUCUCUGUCUCUUUUUUUUUCCUUGUCUCUGUCUCUUUUCCCUGUCUCUGCUAUUUUUCCUUCCAGGUGUCAUGGUUGAAAAACUCAGUCCUCUUUGUUACUUUCUUCUUUAUAUCCUGUAUUCAAUCAAUAACUCAAUUCAGAUCAUUCUUUCUUGGAAAAUGUAUGUGCCUAUCUUUCUAUUCCCAUUUCUCUCACUUUAUCUAAGCACUCCUUACCUCAAGCAUGAAACAGUCUCCUUAUGUGAUUAAUCCUGCUUUCUUUUUUUUUUUUUUUGUGACGGAGUCUCACUCUGUCGCCCAGGCUGGAGUGCAGUGGUGCCAUCUUGUCUCAACUGCAACCUCCGCUUCCCCAGUUCAAGUGAUUCUCCUGCCUCAGCCUCCUAAAUAGCUGGGAUUACAGGCAUCGCCACCAUGCCCAGUUAAUUUUUGUAUUUUUAGUAGAGAUGGAGUUUCACCAUGUUGGCCAGGCUGGUCUCGAACUCCUGACCUCAAGUGAUCCACCUGCCUCAGCCUCCCAAAGUGCUGGGAUUACAGUCGUGAGCCACCGCACCUGGCUCUUUCAUCUUUUAUGGUGAGGAAAAAGCAGUGAAAUAGAAGUCAAUGGCCUCAAAGUUGAGUAUCAGCACCAGUAUUUACCAAAUAUGCAACCUUAGACAAGUCACUUAGCCUCAGUUUUCUCUCUUCUAAAAGGGGACUAGUAACAGCAACAAUAUUCUGAGGAUCAUAUAAGGUAAUAAAUAUGAGAGUGUUCUACGAACUUUAAACUGCCGCUCAAAACAAAGCUAUGUUCAUUUCAUCAUCCCAUAAUGAUCUCAACAGACUUUCUAGCAUCACUGACCCUUGCCUGUGCAAUCGAGACCUACGCUGUCUAUCACAGCAGCCGCUAGCCACGCGUGACUACCGAGCCCCUGAAACAGGGCUAGGCUGAACUGAGAUGCACGGCAAUUGUAACAUACACACUGGAAUUCAAAGACUUAGUGCAGGAAACAGCAAAGUAUCUGGAUCAUGUUUUAAUACUGAUUACAUGUUGAAAGGACAAUAUUUUGAAAAUAUCAGGUUAAGUAAGAUAUACUAUUAAAAUUAAUGACGCCUAUUACUUUUUGGUUUUUCAAUGAGGCUGUUAGAAAUGUUUUGAUUAUGUGCGUGGCCUGCAUUUCUAUCGGCGAGUGCGGCUCUAGAUCCCAUCUACAUUCCUGUCCUUAGUACCACACCUCCUAUCUUAUGCCCUUUGUGUCUGGACCUCCAGCUUACGGUUCAUUUUUCCUAAGUGGGCUCCAUCAUUUUAUAACUCACCUCUCUUCCAAAUCUUAUUCAUUCCGUAAUGUCUGACCCAACAUCACUGUCGGGAAGCUGCUCCUGAUCACUUCAGCAGGGACUGCUUGAUUAAGCACUACAGUAAUUAGUGCUCCUCAGUGGUACUUAAUUUACUUUACUGCUGCCAUUCCUACCAUGAUGCAAAAUCCUUGAGGUCAGGGGAUGGGCCUUACUCAUCCUUGCAUGUAUUGAAGGAUUAAGAAAAUAUCAUGCAUCCAGUAUCACCUAAUUAACAUCUACUGAACUUACCAAAAUCAUGAUUUGAAACUCUCCAAGGGUUUCCAAUGACCUAACAAUUAAGACUUUCUAGAAUCUGAUCUCAAUUGCCUGGCUAAUUAUAUCUCCUAUCACUGGCACUCUGAAGAUUGAUGUAAUGAAUGAUUGAAAAGAAAUUCUUAGUUCCAAGACUCUUUCCCUUUUCUGAAAUGUGCCAUAAUUAUUUGGGGGGAAUCAUGCUGAACCCCAAGUGCACUUCCAAUCUGAAAUGUUUUGUCCUACACUCCAUCCAAAUCAUUAUCUACUUUUCAUGGUCUAGCUCAACUUCUACCACCUCCAUGGUUCCAAAUGCUUCCAGAGGAAAAUUAGACACACAAAGGUGGUAGGGAAUAAAUAUAGAUAUAAUACCUAUAUUAUAUAGGUAUUAUAUAUGUAAAAUCUUGUGUGUAUACAUACAUUAUAUUAUAUAUAUUUCCCUACACAGAUUUCUUAUCCAUACUGUUUAUUGACAUUGCACAAUAUUUUUUAACUAUCAAAUUAUUUUAUGUUUUGUUCCAAAACCAGAUUAUAAGUUUUUAGGAAGGACUCAUUGUCUUCUAGUCUUCAUACUCUCUACAUUUCCAGUGCAGUAGACCCUCGAUAAGAAGGAUCUACUCAUUCAAUGUUCUAGGAAGACUUCUUCCUCUGAACUCCUGAGCCUGGGUGUGAUAUUCUUUAUCUGUACUGUGUGUGACCAAACAAUUACGGUAUAAGCUGAACAUGAAUGAGCUACAGCUACAUCCAACCACAGAGAACGAUCCUAAAGGCUAAUAUGGUGGGGGUAGGGGGUGGAGAGGGAAGUCCUCUGGGACUAUCCCCACCAUAUUAGUAUAAUAUUUCUAUUAAGCUUAGAAAACAAAAAGCAAAACUAAACAGCUUAUUACAUAGGAUAGUGAUAAUGCGACAAUAUUGUUUUAAACACAAGGUAAUGAUAAACCAAAUUCUGGAUAGGCGUUCACCCAGUGGGGAAGGUGGAGGCAAGGAAAUGGGGUAAGGGAGAGGUACUUCUAUGGAUGGCAUUGUUUUAGUCAUAUUAUGAGUUCUCAAAUAGGAUGUGGGUUUAUAAGUAUUCAUUUGACUAUUACGCUUCAUAUACGUUUGUCGCACACACAUUCGUCAUACAUUUUAUUGUAAGCAACGUACCAUUAAAAAUAAUAAUAAAGGAAGAAAAGGCA